rnacentral:rRNA from 1 species
GUGGGGAAUAUUGGACAAUGGGCGAAAGCCUGAUCCAGCAAUGCCGCGUGUGUGAAGAAGGUCUUCGGAUUGUAAAGCACUUUCGACGGGGACGAUGAUGACGGUACCCGUAGAAGAAGCCCCGGCUAACUUCGUGCCAGCAGCCGCGGUAAUACGAAGGGGGCUAGCGUUGCUCGGAAUGACUGGGCGUAAAGGGCGCGUAGGCGGUUGAUGCAGUCAGAUGUGAAAUCCCCGGGCUUAACCUGGGAACUGCAUUUGAGACGCAUUGACUAGAGUUCGAGAGAGGGUUGUGGAAUUCCCAGUGUAGAGGUGAAAUUCGUAGAUAUUGGGAAGAACACCGGUGGCGAAGGCGGCAACCUGGCUCGAUACUGACGCUGAGGCGCGAAAGCGUGGGGAGCAAACAGG